UCAAGAUUAUAUAGGAAUUCACUCUAAUUAAAAUCUUUCAGUUGCCUUUUGUCCCUGAGUUUGACCAACAGGAAAUUUAAGUGGAGAACCAAGUAGUUGAUGAAUGAAAUUAUUGGGAUAAGUUAAUUUGACUUUGAAAAUGGAGAUCCUAACUAGUGAUUAGGUCGAAACUCAAGCACUGAGUGUUAAUCCACAAAAAAAGGCAUUCUAGGUUUCCUUUGAAUUCUUGCAGAUUGUAAUUGUUCAAACACUAACCUGAAAUCUUUGGUGUGCUCAACCUUGCGGCUCCCUUUGAUGUUGGAUUCAGCAUCUGCUGUCUCAUGUAACAGAGACUUAUCAGCAGGCACUUUUACUUUGUAUUUCCUAAUGGAUGCCACUAUCACCUGGAAGAGACGUGAAUGCCAAAACCCCAUCCCCAACUCCAGUUGUCUUGUACAUAAACAAGCACGGAAGAAGCAAUAAGAGCUCCGACAUUAAUUGAGAAGUAGAACCAGUUGAAGAAAGAGCCUUUGUGCUUCUUCUCAACCUCAUCUGUAU